CCUACGGGGGGCAGCAGUGGGGAAUAUUGGACAAUGGGGGCAACCCUGAUCCAGCCAUGCCGCGUGUGUGAAGAAGGCCCUCGGGUUGUAAAGCACUUUCAGUGAGGAAGAACGCCUGGUGGUUAAUACCCAUCAGGAAAGACAUCACUCACAGAAGAAGCACCGGCUAACUCCGUGCCAGCAGCCGCGGUAAUACGGAGGGUGCGAGCGUUAAUCGGAAUUACUGGGCGUAAAGCGCGCGUAGGUGGCUUGAUAAGCCGGUUGUGAAAGCCCCGGGCUCAACCUGGGAACGGCAUCCGGAACUGUCAAGCUAGAGUGCAGGAGAGGAAGGUAGAAUUCCCGGUGUAGCGGUGAAAUGCGUAGAGAUCGGGAGGAAUACCAGUGGCGAAGGCGGCCUUCUGGACUGACACUGACACUGAGGUGCGAAAGCGUGGGUAGCAAACAGGAUUAGAUACCCGAGUAGU
rnacentral:rRNA from 1 species